UGUGUGUCAGUCACUAUUGAAGUAUGUUAAGAAGUAAGCACAGAUAGGGGCGCCUGGGUGGCGCAGUCGGUUAAGCGUCCGACUUCAGCCAGGUCACGAUC